UACGUAGGGUGCGAGCGUUGUCCGGAAUUACUGGGCGUAAAGAGCUCGUAGGUGGUUUGUCGCGUUGUUCGUGAAAACUCACAACUCAAUUGUGGGCGUGCGGGCGAUACGGGCAGACUGGAGUACUGCAGGGGAGACUGGAAUUCCUGGUGUAGCGGUGAAAUGCGUAGAGAUCGGGAGGAAUACCGGUGGCGAAAGCGACUCUCUGGACGGCAACUGACGCUGAGGCACGAAAGCGUGGGGAGCAAACAGG
rnacentral:rRNA from 1 species